GGCUUCAUAAGGGGAGUAAACACACAGUACUUUUGACCACAAAAUGACUUUUUAAAAGUCAGAACUAUGAUAGCAGGAAGCCAACCGAGGUCCAGGUAAAGGCUCUGACACUUUCUCAGGGACACCCUGCUAAGGGCUCCACAGAAGUCUCCAAUCUUCCAAUCUUCAGUCUAUGAAAGCACAGAUUCCUGAAAGGAUGGCCUCAAAUGACCAGGAGUAGGAGCUCUCUAUAUCCCUGCUCCUAAAAACAAGCUAACUGGAGUCUCCAUCGCCUUCCCCCAGCAUAGACACACUACCAACUACCCAACUGAACUCCAUGACUGAUUUGCCAGCCAAUCACGCCCCUGACCCAGCCUACAUGGACAUGGGAAGGACAUCAGUGAAUCGGGAACAGAGGCAGAGGUGAGGAGACACCUGCCCUGUGCCACACAUCUAUGUAGUUCAGCAAUCUCCAGCCCCUUAGUACUCCAGGGGCUCUAAGCCACCCCUCUGUAAGUCAGGAUGGAAGUAGAUGAUACCACAUUUCUAUCUGCUGUAGACACCCUUCCCAGUGUCUCAAAAUGUUUUAGCAUCUUUCAGUAAAAAUCUUCAAGUUUG